rnacentral:rRNA from 1 species
UACGAAGGGGGCUAGCGUUGUUCGGAAUUACUGGGCGUAAAGCGUGCGCAGGCGGCUGCUCAAGUCAGGGGUGAAAGCCCAGAGCUCAACUCUGGAAUUGCCUUUGAUACUGAAGAUCUUGAGUCCGGGAGAGGUGAGUGGAACUGCGAGUGUAGAGGUGAAAUUCGUAGAUAUUCGCAAGAACACCAGUGGCGAAGGCGGCUCACUGGCCCGAUACUGACGCUGAGGUGCGAAAGCGUGGGGAGCAAACAGG